AGUAGUGAAGUAAUAUUUACAUUUAGUUUCGACCUAAAAUUUAGAGAAUUAUUCUCCUUACUU
rnacentral:tRNA from 1 species